GCCGAGAUAGCCCAGCUUCAAGAGCAAUUGGCUCUCAAAGAUGCAGAGAUAGAACGCCUGCAAAGUCAGCUCUCUAGGACCUCAUCAUACAGUGAAGUGGCAGAAAGAGAGGAAGUUUAUAGGAGAAGGCUAAAAGAAAAACAUCAAGAAGUUCAGCGACUGAAGAUAGGAAUGGAAUCGUUAUUGGCUGCAAAUGAAGAAAAGG